GAGAAAUGCAGUAUCUCACCGUGACCAUCCUCACUUGUUGUCUUAGCUGGUAUUGCUGCAAAGGGCCUUGGCAAUACUGAAGUCACCUAGUCCCUUUAAAACAACUCCUUCACAAUGCUUCACUGCAAAUCCUAAUUUGAGAAGGCAGAACCUGGGGUGCACAUGAGUGGUUCUUUGGUUUGUUGGUUUCAUCCUUUUCUGCAGAGGACAAAGCAAUUGCAUGGGUACUGUCCAGAUGUAUGAAACACGCCAACUAUAUUUUGCCUUUAUCUGUAGAUAAGAAAGACCUUGCUGUGGUGGAUAAUGACAAUGAAAUGUAUAUCCAAGGUGUAGCCCAAGGGGUUCUUUACUGAUUCCAACUUCUACUCCUUUUUCCUUCUCAGGGGUGUCACUAGUGGAAAUCACCUCUAAAUACCUGGCUAGGGCUGGCUCUUAAUCAAGGGAGGUGCUUGACUGAACAGCAUCCAAGUGAAAUGGUUACCACGGCUCUGGUUUGCACCACUGUCCCAUCCAGCAGUGCCAUAAAGGUGCAUAAGUCUGCACCAAGGGCACGGAUGUCUUCCUGUAGAGCUGCCUCUUGGAAAGACCUGGUGUUCCUUCAGCCCUUGACUAAUGCAAUACUGUGACCCUGUGAGACAGGGAUUUGGGGUAGGCAGUGAGUGAAGCCACCAGAUGGUGCCCUAGGUCCUCUCUGCUCCUUUUCCUGUCCCCUGCCUGCCCACAUCCUCCUGCCAGCUCCCCCAGUAGCCCCCAGACCACAGACUCUCAGGGGUGGGCACCUUCAGCCAUGCAGAACAUCCCCGGCCAUGACUGUCUUCUGCCCCUGGGGUUGGUGCUUCUGGCACCCCUCACAGCUCUGCAUCAGGGCCCAGGUGCCACCAGCACCUCUGAAGAGAUGGGGAAAGGACAGGUUCCCCUCUGCAUCCAUUAAGUCUGGAGAAUUAGCUUCAUUAGACAGCAGUGUCUUGGCACAGGGCUGCCCAUGUGAGGGCCAGGAGAGUGGCUGCUGACACCAUCCAUGAGUCAGAUUGGCAUCUAAAAUGCAAAUUAGGCCAGAUGUUCAGGGCUGCUUGGAGCUGCCACCACUUUUCUUUCCAUCUGGAAAUGGCAUCUUAUCUUGGGUUUGGGAAAAUUUUCUGUGCCCAUGAUGAAAAAAUUGUUUGCAGCAUAUGCUUCUCCUCUUCUUUGCUGUGUCAGGAAGCUGAUCAAGGCUCAGAUACUGCUCUUUCUGUGGUUUGGGAUUCUGUGGUCACCAAGAUUUGCUAUGCACAGUGAAGUAUCAUUGAGUUUACAAAUGAAAAAAGGAGAUGGUCAGAGAGCACCAGUGAUCUCCAAGGGAAAAGUGGAGAAUGUGAGCUUCAGCAUCUUCUCUUGCUUGAUUCUAGGGCAAGCCCAUUCUCCACAUGCUGUCAGGGGUAUAAUGUUUUUCUUUGUUAAUGAUAAAAUAGAAAUGCAGGUUACUAUUAGUAACUAGUAUGUUACUAGGUACUUCACUAUUUAUAACCAGCCCUUUAAGCUGCCGAACUGUGUUAUGAGCUGUGGAUCUGCUCUCAUUCAGGGGAGGGAGUCUUUCGAUGAACUCUCCUGGAGAUCCUCUUUUCUUGCAGCACUUUGAAUUAUGUGGGUUGUGUCAUAUUGCUCUGGGCCACAUGAAGAUUUGGAUAUACAGCUGGUAGGGCCAGGCAGGUCAGCCACCCUGCUAUAAGGAGUCAGAAUGUAAUUAUCCAAAUUGGAACAGGGUGAACAUGGAAAAGCUAACAUAUGGACUUCUUAAAAAUGUUAUGUCUUUUAAUAACUAGUCAGGGCCUCUGGUUUUGAUCCCAUCUGAAAGAUCUGUCUGCUUACAAUUUUAUGCAAUGAUAUCUGAGUACUUCCAGGGGCAAUAAUUGUACCCAAAAUACCUGUACCACAGUGAGUUUCCCUCCCUUGUGAAGAAAUUAGCCCUGUAGUACCGCUAACAGUCCUUUUGGCACUGACAAGCGCUGUUAAAAUCAAAGAUUCCAGUAGUUCUUGCAAGGCUCAGCAUGAUCUUUCAGCUUCAUAAAUAGGAAAAAAAAAAGGAGGCUCAGGAUGUUAAUGGAGUCUCAGGAGGUUUAACUACUUUUCCAAAAUUGCAGGGUGUCAGAGGUGAAGUCGGGAACAGAAUUCAGGUUCCUAUGUUCUUAUUUGUCCCAGGUUGUCCAGGUGAGAGCCAGGAGGUGGGUAAGUAGGGAGCUGCUGAACUCCAUGCAGUUUAGGAAAACCAAAAAAGUUUCUUCGUGAGUCACCAGCCCCAGCUUCUGCAGGGCUUUGCUUUUCAUGUUUGAUUUCCCAUGUAAGUAUCAGUCAGGCUCAUGUCUGCCUGGCUGAGGUCGCAAAGCUGCAGGAGAAGUUACUGCUCUCUUUUACAGAGGUAUCCACCAUUUUGGCAAUAAGAGUCAAAAUACCAUGGAAAGCCCAAAUAUGUACGCUGUAAUUCUCCAAAUAAAUGUUUAUGGAGGGAAUGUGCUGAGUUGCUCCUCAACCACCCCAUAAAGCCUUCCUGAUUCCUGAAGAAGUUCCUGAGCUUGUCAAGAGGCUUUAGACAAGGAAGAGCAAAUGGCUGCAGCUGAGUCUCAAAGGCAUUCUCUGCUCAUGAGAAGAGGCAGAGAAGUCCCUACCAUCCCAACAGUUAGAUGCUGGAGAAGAAGGAGGUGUGAAGAGAGCUGUAUGCCACAGACUUCUCGGGAGAGGUAAGCGCCAUUCUGGACAUUUACUCAUAGGUCUGCAUAAUCCAGGAAACAUUAUGAUGCCAAUAUUAAAACACAGGAGUGCCACCACAACUGUUCUUACCAGAUGAUAAGCCAGUGAUGUCACAAGAAAAUCCCAGUGGUAAAAGGGAAAAAUUCUGACAAUACACCCCUCCAGCCACUCUGAAUACAGCACUCACUCCAUGGUCACCUGCUGGAACUAAGCAUGGGUAUUUCAGUUUACAAGUGUCUCCACCAAUGGUGUAGAGAAGGGAAAGUUUCCACUGUGUACUGGGCUGAGACCUAUUGCUCUGCAGAUACUCCAGUCAGCAGGCAGUUAAACAGUUCCAAGGCAUAUUGCCCUCAUCUAAUCCCUUCCUGCAGUCAGGUUUCUUAUGUGCCAUACUCCUGUCUUGUGCAAACCAGGUGAUAGGAAGCUCCUCUGGGGUGCCAUCUUCCAGGCUUGUAGAUUAAUGUUUCCUCUGCUUAAUUUAAUUUACAUGUAAACCAUUUAUACUCCCUCAGACAACCCUAAACAAUCUUUCUCAUUCCCUGGUGCUUCUGCACCCCUGAAGUUCUCAUACGCAAUUCCCAUGAUGCUCUUCACAGUCGUUAUUUGGGCAAACUACACACACUGCAAUCCCUUCCAGCUUUUUUAUCAUUUUAUGUUGCUCUUCUUUUUAUUUCCCUCCAAGUUGUUGACAUCUAGCUAGCACUGAGUUGUCCAGAACUAAACAUGUCUUCAAACUGCGGUCUCACCACUAUAUUAAAAAAUGGGACUAUUGCCUAUAUCUCUGAGAAGAGGUCUCUGCCUUUACAACCCCAAAUUAAAUUAACUGCAUGAUUUUUGCUGCCAUAUCACAUUGCAAAAACAUAUUAAAUCUGCUGUCUACUGUC